rnacentral:sRNA from 1 species
UGACUUGCUAUUGGCGAGGACGCCGUA